rnacentral:rRNA from 1 species
UACGGGGGGGGCAAGCGUUGUUCGGAAUUACUGGGCGUAAAGGGCUCGUAGGCGGCCAACUAAGUCAGACGUGAAAUCCCUCGGCUUAACCGGGGAACUGCGUCUGAUACUGGACGGCUUGAGUUCGGGAGAGGGAUGUGGAAUUCCAGGUGUAGCGGUGAAAUGCGUAGAUAUCUGGAGGAACACCGGUGGCGAAGGCGGCAUCCUGGACCGACACUGACGCUGAGGAGCGAAAGCCAGGGGAGCAAACGGG